rnacentral:rRNA from 1 species
CCUACGGGAGGCAGCAGUGAGGAAUAUUGGUCAAUGGACGAGAGUCUGAACCAGCCAAGUAGCGUGAAGGAUGACUGCCCUAUGGGUUGUAAACUUCUUUUAUAUGGGAAUAAAACGUUCCACGUGUGGGAUUUUGUAUGUACCAUAUGAAUAAGGAUCGGCUAACUCCGUGCCAGCAGCCGCGGUAAUACGGAGGAUCCGAGCGUUAUCCGGAUUUAUUGGGUUUAAAGGGAGCGUAGGUGGAUCGUUAAGUCAGUUGUGAAAGUUUGCGGCUCAACCGUAAAAUUGCAGUUGAAACUGGCAGUCUUGAGUACAGUAGAGGUGGGCGGAAUUCGUGGUGUAGCGGUGAAAUGCUUAGAUAUCACGAAGAACUCCGAUUGCGAAGGCAGUUCACUGGACUGCAACUGACACUGAGGCUCGAAAGUGUGGGUAUCAAACAGGAUUAGAUACCCUUGUAGUC